CGCGUCUGCCAUAGGAAAGACUCGGUAGGAGGCUUGGGGGUGCAACGUCAUAUGUCAUCUAUAGCAUGUUAUGCGGCGUGUAGCAUGAGGCAAAUACCACAUGUCGCACCUAGCUUGAUUAUCUGAGAUGCGACGUGUAGCAUGACUCCAUGCCUCAAAC
rnacentral:sRNA from 1 species